rnacentral:misc_RNA from 1 species
GAUGAAGAACGUAGCAAAAUGCGAUACUUGGUGUGAAUUGCAGAAUCCCGUGAACCAUCGAGUUUUUGAACGCAAGUUGCGCCCGAAGCCUUUUGGCCGAGGGCACGUCUGCCUGGGCAUCACGCAUCGCGUCGCCCCCCACAAAUUCUCCUCAGGGGAGCUUGUGUUUCGGGGGCGGAUACUGGUCUCCCGUGCUCAUGGCGCGGUUGGCCGAAAUAGGAGUCCCUUCGAUGGACGCACGAACUAGUGGUGGUCGUAAAAACCCUCGUCUUUUGUUUCGUGCCGUUAGUCGCGAGGGAAGCUAUUCAAAAACCCCAGCGCGUCGUCUCUUGACGGCGCUUCGACCGCGACCCCAGGUCAGGCGGGACUACCCGCUGAGUUUAAGCAUAUCAAUAAGCGGAGGA